CAAAAACAUAACUACAUGAUUUACAUGUAGCGCUUUCUGCUCCAUGAAAAAUUUAAAUAGCUGCAGUACUCUGACUGUGCAAAGGUAGCAUAAUAAUUUGGCUUAUAAUUGAAGUCUAGAAUGAACGAAACCAUGGGGAGUAACUUUAUUUAAUAUAUAAAUAGAAAUUACUUAGUACGUGAAAAUACGUACAUAAAAAAUAAUAGACGAGAAGACCCUAAAAAUUUUAAUAACAAGAAACAAAACAUUUUUGCUGGGGCGGCAUAGUAACAAAAAACUUACAAAAUACAUACUAGAAGCACACGCUGAUUGAAUAAAUUACUUUAGGGAUAACAGCAUAAUUAAAUAUAGUUUGUGACCUCGAUGUUGGACUAGGUAAAUGAAACCUAGAAGGUAUACAUUAAUGCUCUGUUCGAGCACUUUCACCUACGUGAUCUGAG
rnacentral:rRNA from 1 species